rfam:Triticum aestivum genome assembly, contig: Triticum_aestivum_CS42_TGACv1_scaffold_405352_5BL
CUUAUACUUCCUCCGUCCGAAAAAACCUUGUCCGAAACUUGUCUUUCAAAUAGAUGUAUCUCGCACUAACUUGGUGCUAGAUACAUCCAUUUAAGGGACAAGCUUUUUCGGACGGAGGAAAUAUUUA